rnacentral:misc_RNA from 1 species
ACAUCGCGUCGCCACACCUCGACUCUCCUCCGCUCUUCCCCGCUCUCCCCAUCUGACCCCCCUCCUGCCUACUGCCCCCUCUCUCCUCGUCCGCUGUGCUGCGUCGUCUGGGCCCCACCCCACCCCUGCCGUUGCCUCUCCCGUCUGUCUCGGCGCCGGCCUUCUCAGUGUUUCGCUCUUGUGCGUUGUCGCCCAUGGCGUACAAUAUCACCGUCAUUGUCUACGUGGUCGUGCAGUUCGUGGCGUUCCUUCUGGUGCUGGCAGGAACGCCCCUGGACAUCUUUCGCGGUGUGGCUCCGGAGAUUUUGGGGCACCGUAUGGUUUGCAUCACACUGUUUGGUAUGAAAGUGGACUGCUACAAUAAGACGUAUUUAGAAACAACUGAGGAGUUGUGGGCGGAGUGUUUUAACCGCCUGAACCGCUUCCACGCUGCACAGGCGUUCGCUAUCAUCUCCAUCCUUGUAUACUUUGCGGCAUUCGCGUUUGGGUUGCUUCUGCUCUUCUGCUGCCCCUGCUUGCGUUGGGUCUGCCUGGCACUCAACGUUGCUGGCAUCCUCACCUUGUGCGUUGUGUGGGCGGCCAUGGUGGUGACGUACUAUACAGAUGAUAGCGCAGACUGCGUAAAGGCCAAAGACGAAUUCACCUUCGGUAUCGGCUUUGACCUCUUGAUGACGGCUUGGUGCCUGGAUAUCAUCGCUGCGAUUUUGAUGCUCUUGUACGCGGUGAAUUAUUCUCGGAUGAACGAAAACGAGGCACUGCAACAAGGAAAACAAUAGAACUGGAGAUACGAGGAACGAGCGGAGGGCGGGCUUGAGAGCGGCGCGGCCCCUCCCCCACACCGGCGUCCUCGUGGUGGAGCCGGUGUCGGCGAGGAUGAGGGUGCACAAGCUGCGGGUUCCCGUGUGUGCCCUUCGCCGGCCCAGCCCUCUCGCUCCCUGUCGUGUGUGCGUGCGCGUGCGCGGGCAGCAGCGGCACCGCCGUGCACAGGCACCGCUGCCGAGGGGCGAUUGCAGCACUUCCCCACGCCUGCGUGUGAUACACGGCGACUGCGUGUGUGCAGGCGCAUGCGCCCCUGCGACCCUCCUCCCUCUUCUUCCGUGAGCGGCCCCCGCGACCAUCGCUCACUUACGCUGCCGUUGUUCGCGGGUGCCGCCCCACGCUCUCGCCUUACUCGACGCUCGUCUCUUUCGAG